GGGGGCGUAAAGGUUUCGACGGGGAUUACGAAAUAUGAGAAGCGAGUAGAGACGCACGAUCUCUUUAAAAUGUGCAAACUAAAUAUAAACGCUGAUUCUAACGAAUUAGUCGCUGCCUAAUUAAGGCAGCCGUCUUACCCAGGAGGACCACGGCUUGGGAUAAGGCGUCGAUGAGUGGUGAACGAUCCCACUGAGCGCCUCGUAGGUUGGAUUGUAUCAGGGGCUACCAACAUGCUUGAAGCCUGUUUAUCGGCGUCUCGCUGAGGGAAUUUGAAAUGAUAAACUGCACUCGGAGAUGCUCGUAUGGACUGAUUUUCGGACACGGGUUCGAUUCCCGUCGCCUCCACCA
rnacentral:tmRNA from 1 species